GUUUUCGCGUUGGCUUAAUAUCUUGUAAUUGUGUAAAUACCACGAUACACGUAAAAAGCAUAUAAAAGACGCGUCGUAAGUGCUCCAUUACGUCGAUCCUGCUCAACAUACCGCACAAUUUUUAUAUCAUUGUGUUCCAAGUAUGCAGACAUGCCUCCUGAUGCUGCAGCUCCUGCUGUUCUUUCUGGAGCUGGAUAUAUGUGUCGUCAAGUGGAUGACUUUUGGGUUGAUCUUCUUCUUUGGGUGACUCUGGUUGCGACAUGGGCAAAUUCAACUGUAGUUCUACGAAUGCAUGUAAAUCGUCUUGAAACCGUGACUUCAGAUAAUUUACUACAUUCUGCUCAUCCGAUCUUCGUUCCCCACUUUUCUCCGCAAGAUUAACUCGUGGUUAGACCGUUGUUUCGUGCAAAGCAGGCAAUCGUCUCAAUUUUUCCUAAUAAGACAAUUAGCUACGAAAAACGAAACAAGAUAAAACGGAAAAGGAAAGAUGGACGUGCCCAACGGAUCUUUGCUUUGUGUAUGUUGCAGGAUAAGAAGGUAGUGCCCAUUAGAAUGCAACGUGCUUGUCUGCAAUCAGACUGGUACAGGCCUCUAACUAGCUACGGAUCCAACGAGAGCGAAGGAUAUGAGCGUAUCACAAAAUGAAUCAAUCUAUGCAAUCGAUAUUAUUCUAGUAACUCGUUCUUUUAGAAACAUCUAUUCACGCUUCUGUGUACUAUGUUCUUGUACCAUCUAUGAAAUUUUAAUAAAAGAGGCGUCUUGUA